rnacentral:tRNA from 1 species
GGAAUUGUGGCUCAGUGGUAGAGCACUUGUCUCACAUGCAUGAGGCUCUGGGUUUGAUCCUCAGUACCA